GACGAACGCUGGCGGCGUGCCUAAUACAUGCAAGUUGAGCGAUGAAGCUUGGUGCUUGCACCAAUUUGAAGAGCAGCGAACGGGUGAGUAACGCGUGGGGAAUCUGCCUUUGAGCGGGGGACAACAUUUGGAAACGAAUGCUAAUACCGCAUAAUAACUUUAAACAUAAGUUUUAAGUUUGAAAGAUGCAAUUGCAUCACUCAAAGAUGAUCCCGCGUUGUAUUAGCUAGUUGGUGAGGUAAAGGCUCACCAAGGCGAUGAUACAUAGCCGACCUGAGAGGGUGAUCGGCCACAUUGGGACUGAGACACGGCCCAAACUCUUACGGGAGGCAGCAGUAGGGAAUCUUCGGCAAUGGACGAAAGUCUGACCGAGCAACGCCGCGUGAGUGAAGAAGGUUUUCGGAUCGUAAAACUCUGUUGGUAGAGAAGAACGUUGGUGAGAGUGGAAAGCUCAUCAAGUGACGGUAACUACCCAGAAAGGGACGGCUAACUACGUG
rnacentral:rRNA from 1 species